rnacentral:rRNA from 1 species
CGGACGGGUGAGUAACGCGUGGAUAACCUGCCUUACACUGGGGGAUAACACUUAGAAAUAGGUGCUAAUACCGCAUAAGCGCACAGAGCCGCAUGGCUCAGUGUGAAAAACUUCGGUGGUGUAAGAUGGAUCCGCGUCUGAUUAGCUGGUUGGCGGGGUAACGGCCCACCAAGGCGACGAUCAGUAGCCGGACUGAGAGGGUGGACGGCCACAUUGGGACUGAGACACGGCCCAAACUCCUACGGAAGGCAGCAG